rnacentral:rRNA from 1 species
AUGCAAGAUCAGGCGAACAAGAAGCGCUCCUUCCGUCAGUUUCAGGUCGGUGAUCAAGUCUUCCUCAAACUGCAGCCUUACAUCCAAACCUCAGUGGCCCCUCGAGCAAAUCACAAGCUCAGCUACAAGUACUACACUCCGUUCAAGAUCAUCGACAAGGUCAAUAACGUCGCCUACAAACUACAACUUCCCCCUCAAGCAACGGUGCACCCGGUAUUCCAUGUUUCGCAACUUCGGCAAGUGCUACUCCCAGGUGCAACAGCAUCCAAAACUCUACCAUCAGAAGCAGGCGACACGGCGAUUCCGAUCAAGAUUCUCCAAACAAGAUGGCGCAACAAGAAUGAGAUCAUGAUCGAGCAAGUCCAAGUCCAAUGGUCAGCGGGCGCAGCACUCGACACCACCUGGGAAGACAGCCAAGCGCUUCAAGCUCACUUUCCUCAUGUGAAGGCUUGGGGGCAAGCCUCGUCUCAAUGA